GUGUGGAAGAUGCCCCUCCCGGUUCCUGUGUUCUCCAAAGAAGCCUGCCGUGCGGCCUUGUGAGGAUGGCUUAUUGGACCUCAGGUUUGGUGUUCUCGGCAGCUCCAGGGACUCCACUUCCUCUCUGGUUCCCACUCUUGCCUCUGGAGAUCCCAUCCGGCUCUGGCCAACAUAUCAGGUCCUCCAUGAAGCAGAUGGACGUGUGCCUUUCCUUGCAUGGCCUGGGGGCUGAGAGUAACACGCAUAAUGGCUUCCAAACGCCCUUGGAGUUGACUUCCUACUGCUCCUUUUCAGUUUAUGUGGAUCCAUGACACAGAAAUUCUCCAACCCAGUCCCUGUGUUGACGCCUUCUAGUUUAGCAGAACCCAACAAGAGGGUAAACCCCAGAACAGUAAGUUCUGCUGCAGAAGCAAAUGACAAAUAUAUGGAAAAGGACUUCAAAAGGCUGUAGUAUCAAAGUGGCAGUUAAAGAGAAGACAACGCUCAGAGUCGCAGCUGCAGAGGGUAGCGGCUGCAUCAACAUCCUAAAUUCCGGAAACAUCUUGGGCUGAAUCAUUUCUUUGCAGCAUUUCUUCCAACCCCUUUCCUUUGAUAUACAGGAGC